rnacentral:rRNA from 1 species
AACGAACGCUGGCGGCAUGCCUAACACAUGCAAGUCGAACGAGAUCUUCGGGUCUAGUGGCGCACGGGUGCGUAACGCGUGGGAAUCUGCCCUUUGGUUCGGAAUAACUGUUGGAAACGACUGCUAAUACCGGAUGAUGACGAAAGUCCAAAGAUUUAUCGCCAGAGGAUGAGCCCGCGUAGGAUUAGCUAGUUGGUGUGGUAAAGGCGCACCAAGGCGACGAUCCUUAGCUGGUCUGAGAGGAUGAUCAGCCGCACUGGGACCGAGACACGGCCCAGACUCCUACGGGAGGCAGCAGUGGGGAAUAUUGGACAAUGGGCGAAAGCCUGAUCCAGCAAUGCCGCGUGAGUGAUGAAGGCCUUAGGGUUGUAAAGCUCUUUUACCCGGGAUGAUAAUGACAGUACCGGGAGAAUAAGCUCCGGCUAACUCCGUGCCAGCCGCCGCAGUAA